AUCAUGGCUCAGGACGAACGCUGGCGGCGUGCUUAANACAUGCAAGUCGAACGAUGAUGCUGGAGCUUGCUCCAGUUGAUUAGUGGCGAACGGGUGAGGAACACGUGAGAAAUCUGCCUUCAACACUGGGAUAACUCCGGGAAACCGGGGCUAAUACCGGAUAUGAAACCUGCGGGCAUCCGCGGGUUUGGAAAGUUUUUCGGUUGAAGAUGAUCUCGCGGCCUAUCAGCUUGUUGGUGAGGUAAUGGCUCACCAAGGCGACGACGGGUAGCCGGCCUGAGAGGGCGACCGGCCACACUGGGACUGAGACACGGCCCAGACUCCUACGGGAGGCAGCAGUGGGGAAUAUUGGGCAAUGGAGGAAACUCUGACCCAGCGACGCCGCGUGCGGGAUGAAGGCCUUCGGGUUGUAAACCGCUUUCAGCAGGGAAGAAGCGAAAGUGACGGUACCUGCAGAAGAAGCACCGGCUAACUAUGUG
rnacentral:rRNA from 1 species